GACGAACGCUGGCGGCGUGCUUAACACAUGCAAGUCGAACGGAAAGGCCCUGCUUUUGUGGGGUGCUCGAGUGGCGAACGGGUGAGUAACACGUGAGUAACCUGCCCUUGACUUUGGGAUAACUUCAGGAAACUGGGGCUAAUACCGGAUAGGAGCUCCUGCUGCAUGGUGGGGGUUGGAAAGUUUCGGCGGUUGGGGAUGGACUCGCGGCUUAUCAGCUUGUUGGUGGGGUAGUGGCUUACCAAGGCUUUGACGGGUAGCCGGCCUGAGAGGGUGACCGGCCACAUUGGGACUGAGAUACGGUCCAGACUCCUACGGGAGGCAGCAGUGGGGAAUAUUGGACAAUGGGCGAAAGCCUGAUCCAGCCAUGCCGCGUGUGUGAAGAAGGUCUUCGGAUUGUAAAGCACUUUAAGUUGGGAGGAAGGGCAGUAAGUUAAUACCUUGCUGUUUUGACGUUACCAACAGAAUAAGCACCGGCUAACUUCGUG
rnacentral:rRNA from 1 species